rnacentral:rRNA from 1 species
ACGUAGGUGGCAAGCGUUGUCCGGAAUUAUUGGGCGUAAAGCGUGCGCAGGUGGUUUUAUAAGUCUGAUUUUAAAGCUCGGGGCUCAACCCCGGGAUGGCUUGGAAACUGUAUAACUUGAGUACAGUAGAGGUAAGCGGAAUUCCCAGUGUAGCGGUGAAAUGCGUAGAUAUUGGGAGGAACACCAGUGGCGAAGGCAGCUUACUGGGCCGGAACUGACACUGAGGCGCGAAAGCCAGGGUAGCAAACGG